rnacentral:rRNA from 1 species
UGGGGAAUAUUGGACAAUGGGCGAAAGCCUGAUCCAGCCAUGCCGCGUGAGUGACGAAGGCCUUAGGGUUGUAAAGCCCUUUUGGCGGGGAAGAUAAUGACGGUACCCGCAGAAUAAGCUCCGGCUAACUUCGUGCCAGCAGCCGCGGUAAUACGAAGGGAGCUAGCGUUGUUCGGAAUCACUGGGCGUAAAGCGCACGUAGGCGGAUUGUUUAGUCAGGGGUGAAAUCCCGGGGCUCAACCUCGGAACUGCCUUUGAUACUGGCAAUCUCGAGUCCGAUAGAGGUGGGUGGAAUUCCUAGUGUAGAGGUGAAAUUCGUAGAUAUUAGGAAGAACACCGGUGGCGAAGGCGGCCCACUGGAUCGGUACUGACGCUGAGGUGCGAAAGCGUGGGGAGCAAACAGGAUUAGAUACCCCCGUAGUCCCUGAGCGGGCUGGCAAGGCG